GCGCCCGUAGCUCAGCUGGAUAGAGCGUCGGUCUACGGAACCGAAAGUCGGAAGUUCGAAUCUUUCCGGGCGCG
rnacentral:tRNA from 1 species